rnacentral:rRNA from 1 species
CCUACGGGUGGCAGCAGUGAGGAAUAUUGGUCAAUGGGCGAGAGCCUGAACCAGCCAAGUCGCGUGAAGGAUGAAGGAUCUAUGGUUUGUAAACUUCUUUUAUAUGGGAAUAAAGUGAGGAACGUGUUCCUUUUUGUAUGUACCAUAUGAAUAAGCAUCGGCUAACUCCGUGCCAGCAGCCGCGGUAAUACGGAGGAUGCGAGCGUUAUCCGGAUUUAUUUGGUUUAAAGGGUGCGUAGGUGGUUAAUUAAGUCAGCGGUGAAAGUUUGUGGCUCAACCAUAAAAUUGCCGUUGAAACUGGUAGACUUGAGUAUAUUUGAGGUAGGCGGAAUGCGUGGUGUAGCGGUGAAAUGCAUAGAUAUCACGCAGAACUCCGAUUGCGAAGGCAGCUUACUAAACUAUAACUGACACUGAAGCACGAAAGCGUGGGGAUCAAACAGGAUUAGAUACCCCGGUAGUC